CUCAGAUUGGACAUCUAAUUAGACAUAGUAAUACUCUAUCUGAAGAUUUGUCCUGAUUCAUACAAAACUCUCGAGGAUGCAGGUUCCAGUCACGGAAUCGUGAUCCAGACUUCUCUGUCCCGAUCUGAGGACUUAGAUUGGUCCCAGUCAUGGAACUACGAUUUAGACCACCCUGUCCCUACUUCAGCACUCAUAUUGGUCCCAGUCAUGGAACUACGAUUUAGACCACCCUGUCCCUACUUCAGC